rfam:Myotis lucifugus cont2.43075, whole genome shotgun sequence.
GAGAUACCCUUAUGGGGCAGGACUUGUUUCAGUGUGGCUUUGAUGCUCACUGAGUCUGCCCUUUGAAUAUUUCUCU